rnacentral:lncRNA from 10 species
AGUAAGUCUCAUGAGAUCUGGUGUGUUUAUCAGGGGUUUCUGCUUUUGCUUCUUCCUCAUUCUCUCUUGCCACCACCAUGUAAGAAGUGCCUUUCACCCUCCACCAUGACUGUGAGAACUUCCCCAGCCAUGUGGAACUAUGGCAGAAGCAAUUCUUCAGUGAAGGCUUCAAGCAACACCUCCAAACUUCUGACACAUCUGGGAAGCGGUACUGUAGAGCUGACCUACCUUGAAUGAGACCUUUAAAUAAAGUUCUCCUUCUGAAAAGGGCAAAAGAUGACAUCCUCAAACUCGCAGCAAUAAUUGGAAGGAGAGACACGAACUCCCCGUUGCUCUGGAGAAAGUGAUGAAAGUUCCCGGGGCUCUGGCUAAUGACAGGAAACACAUAAGUGGACAGAGUAUCAGCCUCUUGGGGGGCCCCAGGAUACAGUUCAAAUGCCAGCUUGUCUGCUCAGGAAUUAAGGGGUUCCUGCCGCUGCUCCACUCUUCAGGUUGCUUUAUUUCCUCCAUCUGCACAGAUGAAGAAACUGUGGCACAGCCAGGUCCAAGCACUUGCCCCAAGCAGUUACUCAGUGGCAGAAGCAGCUUUUGAACUGAGAUAAGCCUGUGCACUAAUCUGCUAUGGUACAGACCUGCCUUUUGAGAUAUACCGAGCCAAGACUGGCUUUGUCUAGUGUGCCAAACGAACAAGGCCCUGGGAAAUUGCUUAGCAGUGACAGUCACGUCUCAGGAAUGGCUGCUGAAUAUGAACAGGGACUGCCAGACAGCUGCUUCCUGAUCUAAUGGCCUCUCUUUCUAAGGGCUGUCUUCCACAUCUACUACGUGGAUCACAUUCAAAAGCAGGGCUAUGCUUCUUCUGGAAGCAAGGAGCUACCUUGAAUACAGAAAAAUAUUCAGGUCUUUAUUGCCAUCGUAAAUUACUUGUGGCCUUGUGAAAGGCUGAGGAUGUCGCCAAGCAGGAAACUGUCAAUAUACCAUCAAAGCCUCCCCACCCCAUCCUGGCCCCCAAUCUGUGCAUUGAUUAUUGUUCUACAAAACCAGCAAAAAAUAAAUGUUUAAACUAAGUUCAAAAAUGAAGCAAAAUAAUACCCUCUAAAUAUAUGUCUCUCCGUGUGUAUUUAAUGUAUCAAUUUAUAGUCAAAAGCUAGAAAUUAUCUACCAAGGAGGCAAUUUAUACUGUAUUUUUUGUCCCUAGAGGAAAAAAUGCAUGCCUUCUCACAGAAUAGCAAAAUUUGCAAUAUGAUUGUUUUAUAUAUAUUUUAGGCCAUUUGUGCAACAAAUAAAAUAUUUUUAAAUCAACCAGAAACAAGUCAUAUUUUGUAAUAGUAUUAAAAAAUAGAAUCUAUUAGUUACAUGCCUCAUUUAAAAAGGCUGAAUUGUUGGCGGGCAAUUUGAGGGUAUUAGUUGCAUGGAAACACUUGCU